rnacentral:rRNA from 1 species
UGGGGAAUUUUGGACAAUGGGCGAAAGCCUGAUCCAGCAAUGCCGCGUGUAUGAAGAAGGCCUUCGGGUUGUAAAGCACUUUUGUCCGGAAAGAAACCCUUGGCUCUAAUACAGUCGGGGGAUGACGGUACCGGAAGAAUAAGCACCGGCUAACUACGUGCCAGCAGCCGCGGUAAUACGUAGGGUGCAAGCGUUAAUCGGAAUUACUGGGCGUAAAGCGUGCGCAGGCGGUUUGCUAAGACCGAUGUGAAAUCCCCGGGCUCAACCUGGGAACUGCAUUGGUGACUGGCAGGCUAGAGUAUGGCAGAGGGGGGUAGAAUUCCACGUGUAGCAGUGAAAUGCGUAGAGAUGUGGAGGAAUACCGAUGGCGAAGGCAGCCCCCUGGGCCAAUACUGACGCUCAUGCACGAAAGCGUGGGGAGCAAACAGGAUUAGAUACCCUGGUAGUCCACGCCCUAAACGAUGUCAACUAGUUGUUGGGGAUUCAUUUCCUAGUAACAUAGCUAACGCGUGAAGUUGACCGCCUGGGGAGUACGGUCGCAAGAUUAAAACUCAAAUGAAUUGACGGGGUCAUAGCUGUUUCCU